rfam:Oryza rufipogon genomic scaffold, chr07
AAAAAAACAAAUCCUAGAUUUAUUUGUCCAACGUUUGACCGUCCGUCUUAUUUAAAAAAUUAUAAAAAAAAAUUAAAAAGACAAGUCAGGUAUAAAGUAUUAAUCAUAUUUUAUUAUCUAACAACAAUGAAAAUACUAAUUAUAAAAAAAAUUUAUAUAAGAUGGACAGUCAAACGUUGGAAACGAAAACGUAGGGUUCAUCUUUUU